CGACCUGAUUGCAGAAAAUCAGGAGCGAUCAUUUAUUCACCGUGCAAAGCUCAGAGUCUCCUCCUCUUUGUCAACUGAGCUCCGACUGUCAACUGAGCUU